UUCGAGUGGCGGACGGGUGAGUAACGCGUGGGUAACCUGCCUUACACAGGGGGAUAACACCUGGAAACAGGUGCUAAUACCGCAUAAGCGCACAGGGCCGCAUGGCCCGGUGUGAAAAACUCCGGUGGUGUAAGAUGGACCCGCGUCUGAUUAGCUUGUUGGCGGGGUAGGGGCCCACCAAGGCGACGAUCAGUAGCCGGCCUGAGAGGGUGGACGGCCGCAUUGGGACUGAGACACGGCCCAAACUCCUACGGGAGGCAGCAG
rnacentral:rRNA from 1 species